CAAGUGUAGUAUCUGUUCUUAUCAGUUUAAUAUCUGAUACGUCCCCUACCCAGGGACCAUAUAUUAAAUUGAUUUUUGGAGCAGGGAGAUGGAAUAGGGGCUUGCUCCGUCCACUCCACGCAUCAACCCGGGGGGCAGUUGUGGGCUGGAGG
rnacentral:snRNA from 1 species